rnacentral:rRNA from 1 species
UACGUUCCCGGCCUUGUACACACCGCCCGUCAAGUCACGAAAGUCGGUAACACCCGAAGCCCAUGGCCCAACCGUUCGCGGGGGGAGUGGUCGAAGGUGGGACUGGCGAUUGGGACU